rnacentral:rRNA from 1 species
AGCGAAAGCGAGUCUGAAAUGGGCGUACGAAGUACGCAGUUAUGUACCCGAAACCAGGUGACCUACCCAUGUCCAGGUUGAAGGUGCGGUAAAACGCACUGGAGGACCGAACCCGUAUCAGUUGAAAAUGGUUGGGAUGAGGUGUGGGUAGCGGUGAAAUUCCAAACGAACUUGGAGAUAGCUGGUUCUCUCCGAAAUCUCUUUAGGGGGAGCCUCGAGGUUUAGAAUCAUGGAGGUAGAGCACUGUUUGGACUAGGGGCCCGUCAUGGGUUACUGACUUCAGAUAAACUCCGAAUGCCAUUGAUUUUUACUCGGGAGUCACACGGUGAGUGAUAAGAUCCAUCGUGGAAAGGGGAACAGCCCAGAUCAUCAGCUAAGGUCCCUAAAUAUAUGCUAAGUGGAAAAGGAUGUGGAAUUGCACAGACAACUAGGAUGUUGGCUCAGAAGCAGCCAUCAUUUAAAGAGUGCGUAAUAGCUCACUAGUCGAGUGACUCUGCGCCGAAAAUGUACCGGGGCUAAGCAUAUUACCGAAGCUAUGGAUGCAUCCAUCAGGAUGCGUGGUAGGAGAGCGUUCCAAGGGCGAUGAAGUCAGACCGUAAGGACUGGUGGAGCGCUUGGAAGUGAGAAUGCCGGUAUGAGUAGCGAAAGACAGGUGAGAAUCCUGUCCACCGAAUGACUAAGGUUUCCUGGGGAAGGCUCGUCCUCCCAGGGUUAGUCGGGACCUAAGUCGAGGCCGAGAGGCGUAGACGAUGGACAACAGGUUGAUAUUCCUGUACCAGUUGAUUGUGCUUGAGUGAUGGAGUGACGCAGAAGGCUAAGCGAUCCGGACGAUUGGAAGUGUCCGGCCAAGCAGCAAGUCAGUUGAUGAGUCAAAUGCUUAUCAGCGGGUUGACAAGCUGUGACGGGGAGCGAAAUUAUAGUAGCGAAGUCGUUGAUGUCACGCUGCCGAGAAAAGCUUCUAGCGAAUAAUCAACUGCCCGUACCGCAAACCGACACAGGUAGUCGAGGAGAGUAUCCUAAGGUGAGCGAG